rnacentral:rRNA from 1 species
CUGCGGAGGGAUCAUUACCGAGUUUUCAACUCCCUAACCCUUAUGUGAACCUACCUAUUGUUGCUUCGGCGGACUCGCCCCAGCCGGACGCGGACUGGACCAGCGGCCGCCGGGGACCCUCAAACUCUUGUAUUAUCAGCAUCUUCUGAAUACGCCGCAAGGCAAAACAAAUAAAUCAAAACUUUCAACAACGGAUCUCUUGGCUCUGGCAUCGAUGAAGAACGCAGCGAAACGCGAUAAGUAAUGUGAAUUGCAGAAUCCAGUGAAUCAUCGAAUCUUUGAACGCACAUUGCGCCCGCCAGCAUUCUGGCGGGCAUGCCUGUUCGAGCGUCAUUUCAACCCUCGACCUCCCUUUGGGGAAGUCGGCGUUGGGGACCGGCAGCACACCGCCGGCCCUGAAAUGGAGUGGCGGCCCGUCCGCGGCGACCUCUGCGUAGUAAUCCAACUCGCACCGGAACCCCGACGUGGCCACGCCGUAAAACACCUAACUUCUGAACGUUGACCUCGAAUCAGGUAGGACUACCCGCUGAACUUAAGCAUAUCAAUAGCCGG